rnacentral:rRNA from 1 species
GAUGUUGACUUAAUUCUGUGGGGUUUGAGGAGCUUAACACCUUCAUGCUUUGCAUAUUCGUGCUCUUGGGUGUACUUGCCCGUGUGGUUGGUUAACAUCAAUUUUGGGGACCAUAAAAUGACUGGAGGAAUGUAGCUUCGAUCUUGUAUUGAAGUGUUAUAGCCUUCGGUAGAUGUGGUGAUCGAGAUUGAGGAUUGCAACGGAUACCUUUCGGGGCUACCUGUCUGAUCUCUGAUCGUUGCUCUGGUGCUGAAAGCUUGCUUAUAGUUGUCAAAGUCGAUGGUCAAUAGGUUAGAAUGGGUUAAAUUCGUUAAGGAUGUUGACGUAA